AUUUAAAUAGUUUAAUAAAAAUAUUGAUUUGUGGUGUCAAUGAUAUGAAAUUUUUCAUUUUAGAUC